GUCCUUGCAUUCCUAAUGGCUUCUCUCUGAUCUCAUUCAGCCAACGGGGCUCUUCCUGAUGUCCUGCAGCAGGGCCGGUUGCUGGUUGUGGACUAUGCCACCUGCUCCAGCUCUGGCUGGUGGGGCAGCACUGUGAAGACCAAUAUGAUCUGUGCUGGGGGUGAUGGUGUGAUCUCCAGCUGCAACGGAGACUCUGGUGGGCCGCUGAACUGUCAGGCGUCUGACGGCCGGUGGCAGGUGCAUGGCAUCGUCAGCUUCGGGU
rnacentral:sRNA from 1 species